AUUGAACGCUGGCGGCAGGCUUAACACAUGCAAGUCGAGCGGAGAGAGGUAGCUUGCUACUGAUCUUAGCGGCGGACGGGUGAGUAAUGCUUAGGAAUCUGCCUAUUAGUGGGGGACAACAUUUCGAAAGGAAUGCUAAUACCGCAUACGUCCUACGGGAGAAAGCAGGGGAUCUUCGGACCUUGCGCUAAUAGAUGAGCCUAAGUCGGAUUAGCUAGUUGGUGGGGUAAAGGCUUACCAAGGCGACGAUCUGUAGCGGGUCUGAGAGGAUGCUCCGCCACACUGGGACUGGAACACGGCCCAGACUCCUACGGGAGGCAGCGGUGGGGAAUAUUGGACAAUGGGCGCAAGCCUGAUCCAGCCAUGCCGCGUGUGUGAAGAAGGCCUUAUGGUUGUAAAGCACUUUAAGCGAGGAGGAGGCUACUUUAGAUAAUACCUAGAGAUAGUGGACGUUACUCGCAGAAUAAGCACCGGCUAACUCUGUGCCAGCCGCCGCCGUAAGAC
rnacentral:rRNA from 1 species